GCCCGACUAGCUCAGCUGGAGGAGUGUGUGACUCCUGAUCUCAGGAUUGUGGGUUCAAGCCCCACGUGGGGCA